AUUGAACGCUGGCGGCAGGCCUAACACAUGCAAGUCGGGCGGAGCGGCGGACGGGUGAGUAAUGUAUGGGGAUAUGCCUGAUGGAGGGGGAUAACUACUGGAAACGGACGCUAAUACAGCAUACUAUCAGAUGAGCCUAGGUCGGAUUAGAUAGUGGGUGGGGUAAAGGCAUAACAGGGCGACGAUCCGUAACUGGUCUGAGAGGAUGAACAGUCACACUGGAACUGAGACACGGUCCAGACUCCUACGGGAGGCAGCAGUGGGGAAUAUUGGACAAUGGGCGAAAGCCUGAUCCAGCCAUGCCGCGUGUGUGAAGAAGGUCUUCGGAUUGUUAAGCACUUUAAGUUGGGAGGCGUUACCAACAGAAUAAGCACCGGCUAACUUCGUGCCAGCAGCCGCGGUAAUUC
rnacentral:rRNA from 1 species